rnacentral:rRNA from 1 species
UACGAAGGGGGCUAGCGUUGCUCGGAAUCACUGGGCGUAAAGCGCACGUAGGCGGCUUUCUAAGUCAGGGGUGAAAUCCUGGAGCUCAACUCCAGAACUGCCUUUGAUACUGGAGAGCUUGAGUCCGGAAGAGGUGAGUGGAACUCCGAGUGUAGAGAUGAAAUUCGUAGAUAUUCGGAAGAACACCAGUGGCGAAGGCGGCUCACUGGUCCGGUACUGACGCUGAGGUGCGAAAGCGUGGGGAGCAAACAGG